ensembl:lncRNA
CAGCCUCACAAAACCCGUGAUGGUGUCUCCAGUGUUUAAAAGGCAUUGAACGACAGCAGAUCACAAUGGUUAUUGUACUGAAAUACAUGUAUUUAUUAAAAAUGGGUAAAUAAUAUAUACAAACACACCAAUUUGUUUUUCCAGAACCUAAAAAUGAUUUCAUCUUCGAUUCACAUAAAGCGUUUAACAAAUGUUUCUCCUUCAGGAAAAUGAGCAGCAAUAUGUACAUGGAUGGAGCCUGCCCUCAAUGGGGAAAUUAGAUUGUUCCCACUUCUGAGGUCUAACGUUUAAAGUACAGUUUUCAGGGUUAUCACCCAUUGGUUGUUUUUUCCUCAGAGACAAACACUAUCUCCAAUGAUUGUGCUUCUCUGAAAGCAAAACCGGUUUAUAUCAGGAGUGUGCCAAUAACUGGCAAGAGUAGGUCAAAUACAACCUUAAAAAAAGAGGUGAAUUUGAUGAUUCUUUUUGUUUAUUUAAAGAGUAAUUAAUCAUUUUCCCUUAUUUUCACUCUUGCCUAAUCUUGAUCUCCUGAUUUUAUGUAAAUUACCUCCAAGUUUUCUAAAGCAGAGUGGCCUUUUCUGGCUUGGGCAGAAACAGCCAGCUGAGUGCCUGGCCAUACUAGAAGUUUAAUAAGUGGUUGCUGGUAUGCUCCCUUUUGCCUCUCCUUUUUCUGAGCAGCACCUUCGGUGUCAUUCCUUCUCUGUGGUACAUCAACAUUGAAAUGGAUUCAGAAAUAGCUUUGCAGGAAAUUUUUGAGGGGAAAAAAAUUCUUAGUAUGGUGAUCAGGCAGAAGCCUGUAAUAGAUUUGGCUAGAGGCUGAGUUAACUAUAAGAGAAUUACAUAAAAAAUUAGUGUUUCUUUUGAAGCACAUUUUUAUCCUAAGACAUCAAAAGCCUUUCUUUGUCAUUUUUUCCAAGAUCACAGUUGAAUUCUCCUCAUCUAUAGUUGAAUUAUACUCAGCAGAGAAUGCUGAACCAAACUGCGGAAAGUCGGUGUAGGCGCUCUUGAUGGUGGAAAUAGAGAGAGAAGAAUUAGAGCUUUGAAAGAAGGCAGUGAUGACUGGCUUGACAAGAAAGGGGAUAUGUGGAAAAGUCACAGUAGAAUGACCAAAUUGGAUCUAAUGUGAGAGAAGCAUGACAUCUGCAAAGACUUUCUGAUACUGGCCUUGGAAGAUUGCAUGGAUUCUGGUGUCUCAAACAGAGAUAUAAGAUAAGAAUGACUCUACAGCAUGGCUGACAAGUGGAGUAGGUCUGUGCCUGGGAUCCGAACCUGAGAAGCUGGGCUGCCAAAGCAGAGUGCACGGAACUUUAACCACUCCGCCACAGGGUUAUUGGUUUGUCUCCUCAUCCACAGCAGAGUUCAAAAUGAGCACAGCUUCCCCACAGAGCAAGUGCUAUGAGCAAUGUACCAGAUCAUCUGCUUCAAGGUCUUCUUUCUACUACCAGGUGUGUUGCUCAACAUGAGGCCAAGAGUGCAGACUAUUUGCACUGAGAAAAGACAGCAGAGAAGCCUGAAAUAUGAGCGUGUGGUAUGACUAUCAGUCAGCUCUCACUGUGGUUGCAUCCAGUUCUCUUCUGCAUGAUUUACCUUCUUCAAACUCAGAAGAAAAGGGUCAUUUUCUUUUUCUCUACUUUAAAUCCCGUCACCUCAUUACAUUUUCUAAAUGCCAAAUUUACAAUAGGGCCAAGAUAAGCCUGCUAAACUUAUGUGGCUUAGAAUUCCAGAACAUGUGCCACAGUACAGACCUUUAAAGAAUAAUUAGUGUAUGCGAAACAGAGUGAUGAAAAUUGGCAAAUAAUUCCAAUUCACAACCUCGCUUAUUUUAAAUACUUGUUUUGAAUUUGCCAUGAAGUUCAGAGGAAUGGGACAUUCUAGCACCAGGCCAUGUCCACAAAAUCUAACGUUACAUUUUCACAAUCAACCUACUGCC